rnacentral:rRNA from 1 species
UACGGCGGGGGCUAGCGUUGUUCGGAAUUACUGGGCGUAAAGCGCACGUAGGCGGCUUUGUAAGUUAGAGGUGAAAGCCCGGGGCUCAACCCCGGAACUGCCUUUAAGACUGCAUCGCUUGAAUCCAGGAGAGGUGAGUGGAAUUCCGAGUGUAGAGGUGAAAUUCGUAGAUAUUCGGAAGAACACCAGUGGCGAAGGCGGCUCACUGGCCUGGUAUUGACGCUGAGGUGCGAAAGCGUGGGGAGCAAACAGG